GGGUUCUUGCGUAGCAUAUAUGAGGCUCU
rnacentral:piRNA from 1 species